UACGUAGGGGGCAAGCGUUGUCCGGAAUUACUGGGCGUAAAGGGCGCGUAGGCGGCCUGUUAAGUCGAACGUGAAAUCCCUGGGCUCAACCCAGGAACUGCGUCCGAUACUGGCAGGCUUGAAUCCGGGAGAGGGAUGCGGAAUUCCAGGUGUAGCGGUGAAAUGCGUAGAUAUCUGGAGGAACACCGGUGGCGAAGGCGGCAUCCUGGACCGGCAUUGACGCUGAGGCGCGAAAGCUAGGGGAGCAAACGGG
rnacentral:rRNA from 1 species